rnacentral:rRNA from 1 species
ACACUGGGACUGAGAUACGGCCCAGACUCCUACGGGAGGCAGCAGUAAGGAAUAUUGCGCAAUGGGCGAAAGCCUGACGCAGCGACGCCGCGUGACUGAUGAAGUCUUUCGGGAUGUAAAGGUCUUUUCUGAAGGAAGAACACAAUGACGGUACUUCAGGAAUAAGCCCCGGCUAACUACGUGCCAGCAGCCGCGGUAAUACGUAGGGGGCGAGCGUUAAUCGGAAUUACUGGGCGUAAAGCGUGCGCAGGCGGUUAUAUAAGACAGAUGUGAAAUCCCCGGGCUCAACCUGGGACCUGCAUUUGUGACUGUAUAGCUAGAGUACGGUAGAGGGGGAUGGAAUUCCGCGUGUAGCAGUGAAAUGCGUAGAUAUGCGGAGGAACACCGAUGGCGAAGGCAAUCCCCUGGACCUGUACUGACGCUCAUGCACGAAAGCGUGGGGAGCAAAUAGGAUUAGAUACCCUGGUAGUCCACGCCCUAAACGAUG